UACAGAGGUCUCAAGCGUUGUUCGGAAUCACUGGGCGUAAAGCGUGCGUAGGCUGUUUCGUAAGUCGUGUGUGAAAGGCGCGGGCUCAACCCGCGGACGGCACAUGAUACUGCGAGACUAGAGUAAUGGAGGGGGAACCGGAAUUCUCGGUGUAGCAGUGAAAUGCGUAGAUAUCGAGAGGAACACUCGUGGCGAAGGCAGCAUACCGGCGCCCAACUGACGCUGAGGCACGAAGGCCAGGGGAGCGAAAGGG
rnacentral:rRNA from 1 species